GUACUUGUACUGAUUGAGAUUUUAACACGAAGUGAGUGGCGAACGGGUGAGUAACACGUGGGUAACCUGCCCAGAAGUAGGGGAUAACACCUGGAAACAGAUGCUAAUACCGUAUAACAGAGAAAACCGCAUGGUUUUCUUUUAAAAGAUGGCUCUGCUAUCACUUCUGGAUGGACCCGCGGCGUAUUAGCUAGUUGGUGAGGUAAAGGCUCACCAAGGCAGUGAUACGUAGCCGACCUGAGAGGGUAAUCGGCCACAUUGGGACUGAGACACGGCCCAGACUCCUACGGGAGGCAGCAGUAGGGAAUCUUCCACAAUGGACGCAAGUCUGAUGGAGCAACGCCGCGUGAGUGAAGAAGGGUUUCGGCUCGUAAAGCUCUGUUGUUAAAGAAGAACGUGGGUAAGAGUAACUGUUUACCCAGUGACGGUAUUUAACCAGAAAGCCACGGCUAACUACGUGCCAGCAGCCGCGGUAAUACGUAGGUGGCAAGCGUUAUCCGGAUUUAUUGGGCGUAAAGCGAGCGCAGGCGGUCUUUUAAGUCUAAUGUGAAAGCCUUCGGCUCAACCGAAGAAGUGCAUUGGAAACUGGGAGACUUGAGUGCAGAAGAGGACAGUGGAACUCCAUGUGUAGCGGUGAAAUGCGUAGAUAUAUGGAAGAACACCAGUGGCGAAGGCGGCUGUCUGGUCUGCAACUGACGCUGAGGCUCGAAAGCAUGGGUAGCGAACAGGAUUAGAUACCCUGGUAGUCCAUGCCGUAAACGAUGAUUACUAAGUGUUGGAGGGUUUCCGCCCUUCAGUGCUGCAGCUAACGCAUUAAGUAAUCCGCCUGGGGAGUACGACCGCAAGGUUGAAACUCAAAAGAAUUGACGGGGGCCCGCACAAGCGGUGGAGCAUGUGGUUUAAUUCGAAGCUACGCGAAGAACCUUACCAGGUCUUGACAUCUUCUGACAGUCUAAGAGAUUAGAGGUUCCCUUCGGGGACAGAAUGACAGGUGGUGCAUGGUUGUCGUCAGCUCGUGUCGUGAGAUGUUGGGUUAAGUCCCGCAACGAGCGCAACCCUUAUUACUAGUUGCCAGCAUUAAGUUGGGCACUCUAGUGAGACUGCCGGUGACAAACCGGAGGAAGGUGGGGACGACGUCAAAUCAUCAUGCCCCUUAUGACCUGGGCUACACACGUGCUACAAUGGAUGGUACAACGAGUCGCGAGACCGCGAGGUUAAGCUAAUCUCUUAAAACCAUUCUCAGUUCGGACUGUAGGCUGCAACUCGCCUACACGAAGUCGGAAUCGCUAGUAAUCG
rnacentral:rRNA from 1 species